rnacentral:rRNA from 1 species
UGAGGAAUAUUGGGCAAUGCCCGCAAGGGUGACCCAGCAACGCCGCGUGGAGGAUGAAUGUCGUAAGAUUGUAAACUCCUGUUAGAGGGGAAGAAUAGUACCGGUUGGACCGGUAUAUGACUGUACCCUCAGAGAAAGCCCCGGCUAACUACGUGCCAGCAGCCGCGGUAAUACGUAGGGGGCAAGCGUUGUCCGGAUUUACUGGGUGUAAAGGGCGCGUAGGCGGUCUGUUAAGUCCGAUGUUAAAUCCCGGGGCUCAACCCCGGAUAAGCGUUGGAUACUGGCAGGCUAGACGGUUGGAGAGGCUAGUGGAAUUACCAGUGUAGCGGUGGAAUGCGUAGAUACUGGUAGGAACACCCAUUGCGAAGGCAGCUCGCUGGACAACACGUGACGCUGAGGCGCGAAAGUGUGGGGAGCAAACC